CCAGCCUGUCCCAAGCCUGUCAUUGACUACCCAGGGGCAGCCUGAGACAAACAGGAGCGUCCCAUGAGAACCCUAGCAAGACACCCCAGCAGACAGAGGGCAAGGGACCCAGGGGGCCGUGGAGAAGAAAGCAGGCUGGUUCACUGUUCUAGAUCAGGUGUGCCUGGUUGACCAAACUGCAGAAGGCCAGGUUCCUCCGUGAUGACUGUGGUGAAGGGACCCUCAUCCAGAGGCUCCAGAUAGCUGGGCUCCUGGGGGAGGAUGGCAGCUGUGGCCUGCUGGUCCUCUGUGGCAUCCAGAGAUAUCGAGCGAUAAAGGUUUGUGGAGAUAGGCCUGGUGGGUGUCUGGCCUGCUGCGUUUUCUGAGACCACACUGGAAGCCACAGAAAACCUGUCAAAAAAGGGCGGCGAGCAGGCGCUGGUGGACGCGGUGGAGACGGGCAUCGAGUGCUGGGAGUCGGUGCAGUCGAACACCAGAACUAGAAGACUCUCGUGCCUUACUACCAGGGAGCAUUGUGUGUGCUGACAGCCUCAGUUUCUCUCCAGCCCCUAUGGAAACACUCACGUCCUCCUCGUCGGAUGUGUCUGACAGGAUGCGAUGGGCCGCCUUCUUUGGUGCAAGCGUGUUGUUUUUUGAGUAGCUCUUCACUUC
rnacentral:lncRNA from 1 species